rnacentral:rRNA from 1 species
UAGCAUAUCAAUAAGCGGAGGAAAAGAAACCAACAGGGAUUGCCCUAGUAACGGCGAGUGAAGCGGCAACAGCUCAAAUUUGAAAUCUGGCCCUCGGGUCCGAGUUGUAAUUUGUAGAGGAUGCUUUUGGUGAGGUACCUUCCGAGUUCCCUGGAACGGGACGCCAUAGAGGGUGAGAGCCCCGUCUGGUUGGAUACCAAACCUCUGUAAAGCUCCUUCGACGAGUCGAGUAGUUUGGGAAUGCUGCUCUAAAUGGGAGGUAUAUGUCUUCUAAAGCUAAAUACCGGCCAGAGACCGAUAGCGCACAAGUAGAGUGAUCGAAAGAUGAAAAGCACUUUGAAAAGAGAGUUAAAAAGUACGUGAAAUUGUUGAAAGGGAAGCGCUUAUGACCAGACUUGGACUUGGUUGAUCAUCCUGGGUUCUCCCUGGUGCACUCUUCCAGUUCAGGCCAGCAUCAGUUCGCUGCGGGGGAUAAAAGUUUUGGGAAUGUGGCUCCCUCGGGAGUGUUAUAGCCCAUUUCAUAAUACCCUGCUCCGGACUGAGGUUCGCGCAUCUGCAAGGAUGCUGGCGUAAUGGUCAUCAGCGACCCGUCUUGAAACACGGACCAAGGAGUCGUCUUCGUAUGCGAGUGUUCGGGUGUUAAACCCCUACGCGUAAUGAAAGUGAACGCAGGUGAGAGCUUCGGCGCAUCAUCGACCGAUCCUGAUGUUCUCGGAUGGAUUUGAGUAAGAGCAUACGGGGCCGGACCCGAAAGAAGGUGAACUAUGCCUGUAUAGGGUGAAGCCAGAGGAAACUCUGGUGGAGGCUCGCAGCGGUUCUGACGUGCAAAUCGAUCGUCAAAUAUGGGCAUGGGGGCGAAAGACUAAUCGAACCUUCUAGUAGCUGGUUUCCGCCGAAU